UCGUGGAGCUGCCUUUUCAAUACUCAUUAUAUAAUCAAAUGAUUAAAUAAUCUACUGCAGUUUAAAUAGCUUGUUAAAGUAGUUCACUUGCUGAGAUUAUUCAAUCUCACCUUUGUUUCUCUCUCCCCAGGAAAUCCUUUGAAGCUAGCAUGAAGGGAAGUGGGUUAGUUGCACGCCAUACACUUCUACGAUAUCUCUUAAUAAUGUGGUGUACCAUUUUGAGUUUGAUAUAUCUUAUAGUGCUCUUUCUCAUAUUCGUUAAGGAUGUAAAGUUAUCUUGUUGGAGUUUCACGCUUUACUUAUUUAUAUAUCUAUCUGUCGUUGCUUCCACGUUGUACUCGUUUCUAUGGUUAUGCUGUCGAAAUUUUCUAUUUCGGCAUUUUACAGUGCAGUUGUGUAGCAUCCUAGGGUUGCGUGAUCCCUGGGAUGUUACAGUUGGCAUCAGAGCUUAGGUUUUAGAUUCUCGGUAAAAUAAGGCUUAAUUUGACACACUUGCACAUGUAGAAUGGGUUUGGGUUUUGCAUAAUUGCAUGUCAUCUUUCUCUUUAAUAGUAUGAUGAAUUUCUAUCUUGAUACUUUACUCUUUUGGUAUGGUUGGGUGGUAUGGAAUAUGAUUUUGAUUUUUUUGGUAGUAGGAUAUACUUUUUGAUAUAUGGCAUUAUUAUUUUGCACUGAUUGUCUUAUGUGUCGUGUCUAUGGUAUUUUAUUCUAUUGGUACCUUAGUUCGGAAUGCAUGGUUGCCAUUUAUAUGCUUCACUAUUUUUGCUUUAGUAUAAUUGUUGAUAGUCUCGAAUUUAUUGUGCGGUAUAAUUUUGUCAUUGUUUGACAAUAAUGUGUUGUAAUGCUUGAUGAUGUAGCGUUCUUUUGGGUUGAGAAGUUUUAUCGACCUUGAGGUUUGAAGUACCCUAGAAAUUUGUAAGACUAGAGAAAGUUUAGUUUGGCAAUAGAGAUGGGUUGUGUGGAGGGCCCCAACAAUACUCUUUCUGCAUUGCUGAAUGAGGGAUGCCCGAGUAUUAGGGUUGCGAUCUAACACUCGAUAUACGAAGUUAAUAGUUGAGUGACGGGUGGAUUGGCCCCCAUGCCGUGCAUUCUAACUAUUUUUUUUCGGUAUAUGGAAUGAUGGAUCGUUGGUGCCUUGCCCUAUAGGUUGGAGUGACAAUGUUUAGCCUGACCUUAGCUUGGUGUAGGGUUUUCCCCAAUGGAGUAGAGGUAAUUUUUUAUGCCUAUCAAAAGUAGAACUGAGAGAAUCCAUGUGGAAUUUUGGGAGGUUACAAGUGUUAGAUAUAUCGGUGUGCUUGUUGAGUUGCGCUUUUGUUGGCUUAGACCUACAUGGGGCAUAAGAGCUUGCUUUUUGAGGUGUCUUUGUGAGGUGGCUGGUUGGGCACGUGGCGUCUAUGCAGUGUUCUUUGGUAUGAUUGGUUAUUCCUACUAUCCCAAAGGUCAUAUUUUGGUUCUAUGUGUUUCUUGGGAUAUGUAUUCGGAGUGGUCUGCAUGAUAUAUGAGCAAUGAUGGAGUUUUUGAUAAUUGGUUGCAUUAUUGUAAUGCUAGUUGGGGGAUGCCAUUUCUUAGAUUUUUUUAUGAUUACUUUUGGAAUGAUAUAAUUAUGGGAUGUUGUAGGCUUGACCCCGCAUGACAAAAUCUAAGGUGUGUUUGGUUUGUUCUCAAGUUGAGGUCUCUCAUGUUCACUUGGCAAGCCAUGAUUCAUUCCAUGUUGUUUACUUGACCCUUGUCAUGUGCAUGCUUUAUGGUGUUAAUAAUCAAGUUUGCGGGCCUGAUUCGAUGAGUGAGUUUUAAGAAGAUUUGAGUUUUUGUUGUGAGUGUAGCCCUUCUUUCUCUUAAUACUAUCUUCGAGGUUCCAAUAGGUCCUACAUGCGGAUCUAGUAUUGUGGCUUGUAGUUUAUUAUUUUGGAGCUAGUUCAUAUGGCAAGUGGUUGAUCCAAGUUCGUUGCUUAGUAAGAGUUAUACCAAGGAGUCUAGUUAGAUCAUUUGUUUUGAUUGGAGUUCUAGCUUGAGUCUUAUCGCUCUAGGAAAGAUAAUUGUUGAGGAGCAAUUAUGUUGUUAUGAUAUGCUCUGAGUAGUUGUGCUCGAGUUUGUUGGAGCAUGUUAUGAAGAAGAGUUAAGUGCCCUCCUAAAAUCAUGCUAGGAUAUGUGGGCAUUUUAGCUCAAAUUCUUUUUUCUUUGACAGUUUAAAGGAGGUAUGGCUCGAAAGAUGAAUUUGAUGGAAGUGUUGCUUUGAACUCAGUUAUAAUAGUAGGGAUUUACGUUCUGUAUGCAUUUCUGUUUCCUACAUGGGUUCUCAUGCAUUUUGGUCUAUUAAUGUAGUAUUGCCCAUUUGAGGCUAUUGUUUGGUAUGGAUUAUCAUUCUUGGUGUUUAAGGUAUUAUGUCCCUAUGACAUUAGAUCAUUUUAAGAAUUAGGUGGGUCGGUGCAAAGUUUUGGAGUAAUCAUGGAAUACUUUAAAGAUUUAAAGUUUCAUUAGACAAUUAAGUCCAAGCAUGGACUCGUGUUCUUCAGUGGUGGUGCCACGUAGGGUACUCUGGAUGCUUUAACAAUAUCUUUUCAUAUUCAUGUUUUUAAGUGGUCGAAUUCGAGGACGAAUUCAUUUUAAGGGGGGUAGAAUGUAAUGCCAUUAAAACUAAAAUGUCACUAAUCACGUAUACUUCAUGAAAAAUUUAGACUGAUGUUAUGAUGUUUGGUUGUCUAUGUACUAAUGGAUUAUGCUUUUGAGCAAAAUACGCUCUGUUCGUUAGAAAGUAUAAAAUAUGUACAUGUUGACCGGAUAUUUUAAGGAGAGGAAAAAGUUGACUUUUUAAUCCGUAGUUUGUAUAGAAAAUCGGAGAAUGUAGAUGCGUAGAUCUUUCUGAAAGCAAUCCGUUUGAGUACUCAUAUGUAGUAUUUAGAUUUAUGAUCAUGGAGAUAUGUGCAUCCGAAGAAUCAAGGGAUGGGAUGAAUUUAGAAAAAAAAAGGAACGUACCCCUUCAACCUAGUUCGGCCUCCCCUUCCCCUUUGCCGACACCCCUGAAGCGCCCCCCUCCUCACGACCCCUCCCCCUAGCCAGGGUUUUUUUUACCGACCGGUCGCCUGAAACCGCCGGCCUCCGGACCGAUUUGACCGGUUACCGAAAAAACCGGUCAAAUUCAAAUUCAAAUUCAAAAGUGCCAGUUCAACCGGUUAGCCAGCCGGUUUGGUCCUUAAACCGGUCCGGUUUGAGUGGUAAUCGGGUCGGUGAACAAAAAAACCGACGGACCCCAAAAUAUUCGUUCAUUUUGUAUGAAAUAAAUGAAAAUUUUGGCCUGAGCUUUGCACAUAUUAAUGUAAAAGACCACACCAAAGCAACAAUUUAUAAUCAUGCAUACAAAUACAAUAGUAAUAAGCCUUGUAGUCUAAGUGGUGGACCCCAUUUCUUUUUUGGUUUAACUUCAAAUGCCCGCAAAGUAUACUAAAUGAACGAAUAUUUGAAAAAAUUGACACCAUUAGAUUCGUCGCAACAUGAAGUAUUUUUAGAAUUUAUUUGGGAUUUUUUCAUUUUUGAAUUCAAAUUUGAAUUUUAAAUUUGGGCCGGUUUGAAACCGGCGGGUACCGGAAACGGUCCGGACUGGUUUGACCGGUAACCGAGGUUUCCGUCCGGUUCUAGUCGGUAAAAAAAACCCUGCCCCCAGCACACUUUCUCCUCUCUCCAUUGCUCCCUCCUCCCUCAGGUUCGCUCCAUUGUAGCCUCAAUCAAGAAAGCGGAGCAUCAAAACGGAUUGAGAAGGAAGAGAGGAUCGAGGGGAUAGGCGAGAUUAGUGUUUUCCCCAAUCUUCCCUUACGGAUUCUCAUGGAGAACCCCAUGGAACUCGAGAUAUGGCUGAAUCAAUGUGACUGUUCAUGUGGCCUGGCAGAUCUGGUCAGGUAUGUUCAUUGGUGAUUUUCACCUUGUAAAUGGCCGAAUUGGCUCUUCCAUCUAUGAAGACUUUUGUAGAGGGAUAAAAGUUCUUACUGCCAGCAAAAUUUCAUGUUUUUUAUUGUAUAGUUUAGGAGAUAUGGAUUUCUCUAUAUUGGUGCAUGGGCUGUUAGGCAGAUUCAGAAGUGCUGUUUUAUGUGAUGUUUUACGUGACCUUAGAGGCUCAACAAAAUUAUUAUUUGACAACCAAAUUUUUAGUUUAUUCUCUGAAGUUGCCAAAUAUGUAUUUAUUUGGUACCUAGCCUGUUGUAUAAAAAUAGAUACAAAAAAGAGAAGCACUACUGCUCUUCUUUAAUGAUGGUGACAGGGCUUGAUGUUUGUCGAUUCUUGUUUAUAUUGGGGGUUUUGGUCAUAUGACCACUUUAUAUCUCUAUAUGAGAAUACUGUUUGGAGUUCUUGUGCUGAUAUAUGACUGGUUUAGCAGGUGGUGUUGCUAUAAGGAGUCUAUGCAUAGAUACAUUGUCGAUAAAGUCAAGUGAACGUAGCUGUUGCGUUGCUACAACUUUAACAUUCUAUUUUUUACUGCCUCCACUUAUAAAAUACAGCACACAUACUUAUACGUGAUAAUGUAAAAUUUUAGAAAUGACUCAUAUUUAUUUGGUGAAGUUUGAAACGAGGUCGCUAAUAUAAAUUUAGAGGUAACAUUGCUUUUUACAUCAGCAUGGGUGGAUAGAUAAAUGAAAUGGUCUAUAUGUGGUAGAUUAUGAAUUAUGGUUGGGGAUAAAGGUAUAUUUACAUAUGACAAAUGCUUAGCAAUUUAUCAUAUGACAUGUUUUUCAUUGAAUAAAAUCUAUGGAAUUCUUGGCAGUUUACUAGUGAGUGGGCUUGUUAUAGUAGUGAUAUGUUAAUCUUGGUGUAUGAAAAUCUCUGAGGUGUUUACACUACCUUAUGUCUCCUAGUGCUAUCAUGUGAGGUGAACUUCAAUUUCGAUUCUGAGUAAGGUUUGAUGUAGAUUCCUACUAUUCUUUGGUUUAUGUCUUCAAAUAUAUGGAUUGAAUCUUGGGUUGAUUGCCUCUACUUAGUUAUGUUUUUUCUUUAUCUGAUAGAUAUGCUUGGGACUUGGAUUAUGGAAUUAUUUUUCUGUAUGUUUAAAAUCUUAGUGGCUACACGCUAUCCCGUUUCUGUUGACUAAGGUGAUCUACAUAUAUGAAAGUACGAAUAAUUGUCUAUUGAUAUCUGCAUCAUAUGAUUAUUUAGUCAUGGUUGGUGCUGUUUAUGUUGAAGAAGUAUUGUUUGCAUCUCUCGCAUUAACUAUCAGGGAUUAUCCUUAUUUUCCAUCAUGGAGUACUUGGUAUUUGAAUUUGGAGUAUAUGAUAUCUGGCUUUGAAGAUCCUGUUGCAUUGCAUUGCAUUGCACCACAUUUUAUGGCAUUUGGAGUUAUGUUACGAACCUAUGAUUGCGACCGUACCGGUACAACAUCGUUUAUUGGGCAUAACGAUGCAGCUUCAUACCUUGUUGGGUAUGAAGGCAGGAGUUCAUAUGCAUCCAUGUGCAUAAAGCAUCAUUGGUUUGGCAUAAUAUUACAGCUUCAUGGCUUGAUGGUAUGGAUACAGGAGUUCCAGUGCAUUGAUUUGUUAUUUUUUAAAAAAUGGUUGAUUGUUGGAUGUGGAGUUAUCUUUGUAAACACAUAUGCUAUGCUCUUAUGCUGACACACACUAUGGUGUUGCUUAUGGAAUUUUUGAAAUGCCAUAUGAGUGCCUCUUGCAUUCCCCUGCUUUACUAUGUGGAUAUUUGAGUAUUGGUGGGUAUAGUCACAUUGAAGCUAAUAUAGUUGUGAUGCUUCUCCAUCGUGAUGUGCAUUUUGGUAUGACUUACGAGAAUAUGGAGAUAUUAUCUACAUUCCUAUGCACCUCAACUUGAUAGAAUAUGUUAUUCCAUUUCUAGUAUGCUAUAUGGUCUACACGUCUCUACAUUUACUUCUAGUUUUAUGGAGACCUAUAUGUCAUGUUUUGGAUUACUUACUAUCAUCCUUUUUGGGAUCUUAUAUUACCCGUUAUAAGUAGCUGGUAACAAAAGAAUGUUAUGUUGUCAUGGGUAUGUUCUGGAUAUACCAAGUACAUUCGUGGAGCUGCCUCUUCAAUACUCGUUAUAUUAUCAAAUGAUUAAAUAAUCUACUGCAGUUUAAAUAGCUUGUUAAAGUAGUUCACUUGCUGAGAUUAUUCAAUCUCACCCUUAUUUAUCUCUCCCCAGGAAAUCCUUUGAAGCUAGCAUGAAGGGAAGUGGGUUAGUUGCACGCCAUACACUUCUAUGAGAUCUCUUAAUAAUGUGGUGUACCAUUUUUGAGUUUGAUAUAUCUUAUAGUGCUCUUUCUCAUAUUCAUUAAGGAUGUAAAGUUAUCUUGUUGGAGUAUCACGCUUUACUUAUUUAUAUAUCUAUCUGUCAUUGCUUCCGCGUUGUACUCA